GGUAAAAUGGCUGAGGUUUAGGCAAUAGACUGUAAAUCUAUUCAGGAGGUUACCCCUCUUUUACCA
rnacentral:tRNA from 1 species